AGAGUUUGAUCCUGGCUCAGGAUGAACGCUAGCGACAGGCCUAACACAUGCAAGUCGAGGGGCAGCGGGGAGGUAGCAAUACCUUUGCCGGCGACCGGCGCACGGGUGAGUAACACGUAUGCAAUCCACCUGUAACAGGGGGAUAACCCGGAGAAAUCCGGACUAAUACCCCAUAAUAUGGGCGCUCCGCAUGGAGAGUCCAUUAAAGAGAGCAAUCUUGGUUACAGACGAGCAUGCGCUCCAUUAGCCAGUUGGCGGGGUAACGGCCCACCAAGGCGACGAUGGAUAGGGGUUCUGAGAGGAAGGUCCCCCACAUUGGAACUGAGACACGGUCCAAACUCCUACGGGAGGCAGCAGUGAGGAAUAUUGGUCAAUGGUCGGCAGACUGAACCAGCCAAGUCGCGUGAGGGAAGACGGCCCUACGGGUUGUAAACCUCUUUUGUCGGAGAGUAAAGUACGCUACGUGUAGUGUAUUGCAAGUAUCCGAAGAAAAAGCAUCGGCUAACUCCGUGCCAGCAGCCGCGGUAAUACGGAGGAUGCGAGCGUUAUCCGGAUUUAUUGGGUUUAAAGGGUGCGUAGGCGGCACGCCAAGUCAGCGGUGAAAUUUCCGGGCUCAACCCGGAAUGUGCCGUUGAAACUGGCGAGCUAGAGUGCACAAGAGGCAGGCGGAAUGCGUGGUGUAGCGGUGAAAUGCAUAGAUAUCACGCAGAACCCCGAUUGCGAAGGCAGCCUGCUAGGGUGCGACAGACGCUGAGGCACGAAAGCGUGGGUAUCGAACAGGAUUAGAUACCCUGGUAGUCCACGCAGUAAACGAUGAAUACUAACUGUUUGCGAUACAAUGUAAGCGGUACAGCGAAAGCGUUAAGUAUUCCACCUGGGGAGUACGCCGGCAACGGUGAAACUCAA
rnacentral:rRNA from 1 species